UAAUAGUGCUGUUGUAUUUGCUUAUUCGCUUAUUUGUUUAUCUGCUUAUUUGUUUAUCUGCUUAUUUGUUUAUCUGCUUAUUUGUUUAUCUGCUUAUUUGUUUAUCUGCUUAUUUGUUUAUCUGCUUAUUUGUUUAUCUGCUUGUUUAUUUGUCUUCUUUUUUUUUUUUAUCUUGAUUUUUUCUUUUUUUUUUUUUUUUGUAAGAACAAAGAAAAUGAUACUAUAUCAAAAAUAAAAGAAGAAAUAGAUUAUUUAUUAGGUGCUUAUUUUUCUAGGUAUAAAAAAAAAAAAAAAUAAAAUAAAAUAAUUAAAAUUGUUUGUGUUCACUCUUAUAUAUAUAGACCUAUGUAUAUGUGAAUAAAACAAAAUUAUCUCUUAUUUCCGUUUUUAUCUUUCUUUUUUUUUGCUGUCACAGAUUUGAUUACAUAAUUAAGAGAUUAAAACAAGAAAAGGAAUUACAAAUAAAAUAUUUAACAACUUCUAUGAACUCUUACUACAAUAUAUUUUUUGAGACAGUUGAUAAGAAACAUGAAGAUUACAAAAAAAUUGAAGAUCUAAUUAAGUUCCAUUUUAUUCCAGAAACACUCAAAAACUACUUUACAGAAAAUAUAAAAAUUGAUAAUAUAAUAAAAGUAAAAAAAUUGAGUGAUAGAAAUCUGGACACAUUGAUAGAACAACAUUUAAAUAGCUUGGUUUAUUAAAAAAAAUUAAUAUUCUUACCCACUUAAAAGUAGUAAAAAAAAAAAAAAAAAAAAAAAAAAAAAAAAAAUAGGUAACGAGUCACCUACCACCUAAAAUAUAUUACCCUAUCUAUGCAUAUGUACAUAUAUAUAUAUAUAUAUAUACGUACAUAUAUGAGCGGGAACUUAAGAAUACACGUUUGCACAAAUUAACACAUGCAAUGUAUGGACUUAUUUUUUUUUUUUGUGACGUCUUUUUUUUUUUUUUUUUUCACCCACUGCAGUUGCAAAAUUAACCAUUUUUAUGAAUUUGACGAAGCAGAACAAACAGUUGAAGACCCUAAGAGAAAAAAAUUUUUUGAUAAAAAUUAUGUUUGUUCGUCUUAUAAUAUUAAUCAUAUUUUGAAAACUUUAAUAAAGUAAUCAUAAAAAAAAAACA
rnacentral:lncRNA from 1 species